UAUUAAUACAUUAUGCUGAUCUGUAGUGCUAAAGCUCAUAUUUGGAAAAUUGAGUUCAUCUUUAUGAAGCUGGAAUUGCAGUGAGUGGUUCUGGAAGCAGUUUUGUUACUUCUCAGUACAAGAACUUUGUGAUGCACCUUCACUCCCUGCAGUUACAGUUGGUUUUGGAUACACCCCUUCCUACAGAAACUUAUAUAAGAUAGCUCCUGUUAUCCUUGACUUCCAGAGAACAUCAGAAGCAUCAAAGAGUUUAAAUGUGAGGUAAUUGUGAACAUAGUGAUUACUGAAAAGCAGAGAACUGUGAAAUGCUGCUGAAUUCUUCCCUUCUGCAGUUAUCUACGGCUACAUUUUUUCAGAGGUACCUGAUGGAAUUGGGCCCCUCUGUUGUAGCAUAUGGAAUAUUUUGGACUUAUUUUUGGGGGAGCAAUGGAAUGGCACAAAUUACAAGGGAACAAAAAUUUAGGAUGGCGUCAUUUCACCUCCACGAGUGACACCGUGGCACUGGCUCGGCUGCGUGAGGCUGGGAUGAGUGCAGGAUGUGUGGUGCAGCUUUCCUUGUCUCUGCCUUGUGCAGCAGUGGGUGAGUAG
rnacentral:lncRNA from 13 species